UCCCUCACGGUUCUGGAGGCUGGAAGGCCCCAGUUAAGGUGCCAGCACUGUGGGUUCCUUCCGAGGGCUGUGAGGAGGAAUGCGUUCCAUGUCUUCCCCUGGCUUCUCGGGGAUGGCUGGCAAUCUUUGGCGUCCCUUGGCUUGUAGAAGCGUUACCCCAUUGCUGCCCUCGUCUUCGCGUGGCAUUCUCUUGGGGAGACUGUGAAAUGAGAGAAUGUGUGCAAAGUGUAGAGUACGGGCUGGACACCCUUGCUAUUCAAGACGAAGCUGCAUGCUAAACACUGCUGUUCUUCACAACAGCUUCAGGAUGCAGUUUCCUCUUUGUUCGUGGUAGGACCCUUGGCACUUGAACAGAAGCCACCCUUUGGCUUCACUCCCUGGGGUGGUGCAGAGCCUGGAAUCCUGCCCCUCGGUGCCUGGGGCUUCCUCUGGGAAGAAGGAGGGGCACGUGAAAUCAAAUUUCUUCCCAGAGAAGCCUGAGCUAACCUGGCAGGACAGCUGCUGCUCAGAGCCCACUGAUAAUUCAGCCAAUUAAGUGGGGAAAUAUGGGAGAAGACCUCCACAGUGGGGCAGGGCGAGUCCACCGGAAGA